rnacentral:rRNA from 1 species
UACGUAGGGUGCAAGCGUUGUCCGGAAUUAUUGGGCGUAAAGAGCUCGUAGGCGGUUUGUCGCGUCUGCUGUGAAAACUCGGGGCUUAACCCCGGGCCUGCAGUGGGUACGGGCAGACUAGAGUGCGGUAGGGGAGACUGGAAUUCCUGGUGUAGCGGUGAAAUGCGCAGAUAUCAGGAGGAACACCUGUGGUGUAGACAGCUUACUGGACCACGACUGACGCUGAGACACGAAAGCGUGGGUAGCAAACAGG